GAGGGAAGUCCCCUCGCAUUCGGCUUGCAGGAGCAGGGUGCAAACCACCGUAAGCGGCAUUAGUCAAAAGCCCUUGUCGUGAGCGUUACGGAAAAGGCAUCGUAAAGAUGUCAGGU
rfam:Pelodictyon phaeoclathratiforme BT-1, complete genome.